CAGUCGCCGCGGUAAUACGUAGGGUGCGAGCGUUAAUCGGAAUUACUGGGCGUAAAGCGGGCGCAGACGGUUACUUAAGCAGGAUGUGAAAUCCCCGGGCUCAACCUGGGAACUGCGUUCUGAACCGGGUGACUAGAGUGUGUCAGAGGGAGGUAGAAUUCCACGUGUAGCAGUGAAAUGCGUAGAGAUGUGGAGGAAUACCGAUGGCGAAGGCAGCCUCCUGGGAUAACACUGACGUUCAUGCCCGAAAGCGUGGGUAGCAAACAGGAUUAGAUACCCCCGUAGUCCCUGUCUCUUAUAC
rnacentral:rRNA from 1 species